rnacentral:lncRNA from 1 species
UCAAAAACUACAAAAGUAGGUGUGACACUACAAUAGUCCCACAUCAGAUAGUUAUGACUAGAUGUGAGAGUAUAUAAGCUUAAUUGGGUAAGACAUAAAAACUGGAUUUAAGCAUUUUGGGUCGGUGGUUUGGACCCAACGAGUUAUUAUUGCUGGCAGGUUGGGUCGUUACAUUUGGUACCAGAGUCGGUUCACCAGUUGGAAAUAUGUAGCGAGUCUCGGCUGAGCUAGGAUCUGAAAGACAAGGUGAUAGGCUAUACCGGAGUCUGAAUGACAAGGUGACCGGCUAUAUCAGGGUCUAGAUGAUAAGGCUAGCGAGACGAGUCUCACAUCGCCCGUUAAGGGAGUCUGUCAUACCACAAUAAUCCCACAUCGAAUAGGAAUGAGAAUGUGAUUGGCUAUAUAAGAGACUUAGACACUAGUACUAAUAACUGGGCUUAACCAUUUUGGGCUGUUGGUUUGGGCCUAGCGAGUUAUUAUUGCUAGCAGGUCGGGUCGUUAUAUUUGGUAUCAAAGCUAGUUCACCAGCUGAAAGUGUGAGAUGAGUCUUAGCUGAGCAAGGGUCGGAAUGACAGACUAAGUCAGGGUCAGUAAUUGACAGGCUAAGUCAGGUUUGGAAUGACAAAGGUUAGCGAGACAAGUCUCACAUCGCCUAGUGAUUUUGGGUUGUGUGUGUGUUUAGGGCUGACAAGGACGUCAAGGCCUAAACGGGGGGAGUCUGUAACACCCAAUAGUCCCACAUCGGGUAGUUAUGACUAGAUGUUGAGUAUAUAAGCUUAAUUGGGCUAGACAUAAUAACUUGGUUUAAGUAUUUUGGGCCGGUGGUUUGGAUCCAACGAGUUAUUAUUGCUAGCAGGUUGGGUCGUUAUAGUAGGAAAUAUUAUCUAGCCUGCUAUCUUCUUAAUUACCUCGAUUUGAU